rnacentral:tRNA from 1 species
GCUCCUGUGGCGCAAUCGGUUAACGCGCGGUACUUAUAAUGCCGAGGUUGUGAGUUCGAGCCUCACCUGGAGCA